rnacentral:ncRNA from 1 species
UGCCGCGGUGAAUAUGUACCCGGGCCCUGUACACACCGCCCGUCACACCCUGGGAAUUGGUUUCGCCCGAAGCAUCGGACCAAUGAUCACCCAUGACUUCUGUGUACCACUAGUGCCACAAAGGCCUUUGGUGGUCUUAUUGGCGCAUUCCACGGUGGGGUCUUCGACUGGGGUGAAGUCGUAACAAGGUAGCCGUAGGGGAACCUGUGGCUGGAUUGAAUCCUUC